CGUUGUAUUGUCGGGGGCUGGUUGGGAUGGCGCAUCUGCGCUCUACUUGCCGGCCCUGUCUGCACAUUACCCCUGUUUUUUGCGUACCUACUUGUUUCCUCGGCAGGCUUGCCUGCCAGUAGGACCUCUUAUAAACCUUUUGUACUUGCAAUCAGCGUCAGAAAAUUUGAAUGGUUA
rnacentral:misc_RNA from 1 species